rnacentral:misc_RNA from 1 species
GGAAGGAUCAUUAACACGUGAUUCCACGUAUCAACCAACCUCGACGAACUGUAUCUCAACUCUUUUGGGUUCUAUCUUUGGCGGCGGCGGCCCUCGGCUUCCUCCUCUAAAGGUUUAUCUCUUGCUGUACUUAGUGCAGACAAGAGACCUUGAGUGUGAAGAAGGUGGUUUAUUGGAGAUGUCGUAUGCAAUUGGACUUCGUGUCUGAUUCUCGCUGGCAUCCUCCUUAAGCCAAGUGCUUCCCUCUUUGGCCCAGGGAUUUGAGUGUCUUGUUGUCUUCUGCCUACCCUCUGCGGGGGGUGUGGCUUAUUUUCCCACCGUUUUUAGUUCGUCUUGUGUUUCCAGUCUUCGGAGUGGAGUACGCACUACGUCUAAAAACUUGCUGUUUUAAAUCAAUACAUCUUGUUAUUGAAAGGGAUUCCCGCAAGGGUCAAUGCCUUUUAAUACAAACUCUGAACAACUCUGAGCAACGGAUGUCUUGGUUCCCGCAACGAUGAAGAACGCAGCAAAAUGCGAUAAGUAAUGCGAAUUGCAGAACUCAGUGAAUCAUCGACUCUUCGAACGCAACUUGCACCCCAGCCGUUCCUAGGCCUAAAAACCUACACGGGGGGUACGUACUGUUCAGUGUCGACCGACACUCUGAGGCAUCGUCCUCAAUAAUUGGGUCCUGGCUCUUCAGUUGGGCGGAUCCGUGGGCAUGUCGUUUGUGCUUCUUUUAUCUGGUGCUUGCACUAGAUAAAAGCAGCCCUCGUCUCGGCGAGAACGGCAUAUCAGCUCAGUACAUGUGAGUGUUCCUUUAGCUCCUUUUGCACUUGUGUAAAAGGUAGCUGAAGGUCACUUUAAAUUAUGCUCUACUCUAGUGAGGCUCAGUUGGCCUACUGGAGAGACUGCCACCUGUUCUCUUCUGGAGCAGGAUUGGAUGGCUGGGUCACACCAGUCAAACAUCCUCCUGUUUCUGGGCUCAAAAGAGAGCUUGUGGGAUGCACACAGUCUUUCCAUUCAAGGUAAGCCAACAUUAAUGGGUCACACUUAAAAACCGGAGGACAUGGUACCGACCCUGUCUCCACCCCUUGGCCAGCAAUGUGCGCUAGCCCAACAAACCAAUCCUAGACCUGAACUAGUACGAGAACACCCGCUGAAUUUAAGCAUAUUAUUAAGCGGAGGAAAAGAAACUAACAAGGAUUCCCCUAGUAACGGCGAGUGAAGCGGGAAUAGCUCAAAGUUUAAAUCCCCCACCUUCCGGUGUGUUGGGAGUUGUAAUCUAUGACCUGUGGCCAGCGUGUGACCCGGGUAUAACUCUUUUGGAAAAAGGGAUCAUAGAGGGUGAGAAUCCCGUCUGUGACCCGGAGUUCGCCGCGUACGGUACAGGUUCUGAGAGUCGCGUUGUUUGGGAGUACAGCGCAAAAUGGGUGGUAAACUUCAUCUAAAGCUAAAUAUUGGCGGGAGACCGAUAGCGAACAAGUAGCGUGAGCGAAAGAUGAAAAGAACUUUGAAAAGAGAGUUAAAAAGUACCUGAAAUUGCUCAGAGGGAAGUUAUGGAAACCAGUCUUUCCCUGGAGGAUAUUUACCAUCGAUUGGAUCGUAGAAGCGUAAGGGACGAGGCUCCAAGAGGGUCCGGACUUUUGCUUCGUUGCUUUUCAGUCGGUGGGUCCUGUCCUCUGGGGCGUGUCAGAAUCAGUUUGGCUGGUCGGAGAAAGCCUUGGAGAAGGUGAGAAGCUAUGGGGUUCGCUUCAUAGUUUCUGUUAUAGCUCUAAGGAAAUAUACGACCGGCGAGACUGAGGAACAUUCGAUAAGGCACCCCUCCUCGUGGGGGAUGUGGAACUUCGUCUCUAUUCGGAUGUGGUUGGCUUGGACAGCAAAGCUGUGCGGUUGACCCGGCUGGAUACUGGGCGGGGAUCUCCAUUCGUGUCCUUAGCGAUUCUGACGAAAUGGUUUUCAUUGACCCGUCUUGAAACACGGACCAAGGAGUCUAACAUAUAUGCGAGUAUUUGGGUGUUUCAAACCCUAAAUGCGUAAUGAAAGUGAAGGAGGACUUGUGCCUCUGAGGUAGGAACCGUGGCUUCGGCUGCGGGGCACUAUCGACCGAUCGAUCACUUGUGAUAGAUUUGAGUCAGAGCAUAUCUGUUGGGACCCGAAAGAUGGUGAUCUAUGCCUGAUCAGGGUGAAGCCAGGGGAAACUCUGGUGGAAGCUCGUAGCGAUACUGACGUGCAAAUCGUUCGUCUGAUUUGGGUAUAGGGGCGAAAGACUAAUCGAACCAUCUAGUAGCUGGUUCCCUC